UACGUAGGGGGCUAGCGUUGUCCGGAUUUACUGGGCGUAAAGGGCGCGUAGGCGGCUUAACAAGUCACUUGUGAAAUCUCCGGGCUUAACUCGGAACGGCCAAGUGAAACUGUCAAGCUAGAGUGCAGAAGGGGCAAUCGGAAUUCUUGGUGUAGCGGUGAAAUGCGUAGAUAUCAAGAGGAACACCUGAGGUGAAGACGGGUUGCUGGGCUGACACUGACGCUGAGGCGCGAAAGCCAGGGGAGCAAACGGG
rnacentral:rRNA from 1 species